GGAAUAUUGCACAAUGGGGGAAACCCUGAUGCAGCGACGCCGCGUGAGUGAUGAAGUAUUUCGGUACGUAAAGCUCUAUCAGCAGGAACGAUCAUGACGGUACCUGACUAAGAAGCACCGGCUAAAUACGUGCCAGCAGCCGCGGUAAUACGUAUGGUGCAAGCGUUAUCCGGAUUUACUGGGUGUAAAGGGAGCGUAGGUGGCUUGUCAAGCCAGAAGUGAAAACCCGGGGCUCAACUCCGCGGAUUGCUUUUGGAACUGAUGGGCUGGAGUGCAGGAGGGGUAAGCGGAAUUCCCAGUGUAGCGGUGAAAUGCGUAGAUAUUGGGAAGAACACCGGAGGCGAAGGCGGAUUACUGGACUGUAACUGACACUGAGGCUCGAAGGCGUGGGGAGCAAACA
rnacentral:rRNA from 1 species